AGUGAACGCUGGCGGCAGGCCUAACACAUGCAAGUCGAACGGCAGCACAGUAAGAGCUUGCUCUUACGGGUGGCGAGUGGCGGAUGGGUGAGGAAUACAUCGGAAUCUACUUUUUCGUGGGGGAUAACGUAGGGAAACUUACGCUAAUACCGCAUACGACCUACGGGUGAAAGCAGGGGAUCUUCGGACCUUUCGCGAUUGAAUGAGCCGAUGUCGGAUUAGCUAGUUGGCGGGGUAAAGGCCCACCAAGGCGACGAUCCGUAGCUGGUCUGAGAGGAUGAUCAGCCACACUGGAACUGAGACACGGUCCAGACUCCUACGGGAGGCAGCAGUGGGGAAUAUUGGGCAAUGGGCGAAAGCCUGAUCCAGCCAUACCGCGUGGGUGAAGAAGGCCUUCGGGUUGUAAAGCCCUUUUGUUGGGGAAGAAAAGCAGCAGGUUAAUACGCCGCUGUUCUGACGGUACCCAAAGAAUAAGCACCGGCUAACUUCGUG
rnacentral:rRNA from 1 species